GACCCGGAUAGCUCAGUUGGUUAUAAGUGUGGUGUUGAUAAUACCAAGGUUGCAGGUUCGGUCCCUGCAUGGGACA